rnacentral:rRNA from 1 species
AGGGCACCACCAGGAGUGGAGCCUGCGGCUUAAUUUGACUCAACACGGGAAAACUUACCCGGCCCGGACACUAGAAGGAUUGACAGAUUGAGAGCUCUUUCUUGAUUUAGUGGGUGGUGGUGCAUGGCCGUUCUUAGUUGGUGGAGCGAUUUGUCUGGUUAAUUCCGAUAACGAACGAGACUCUAGCCUACUAAAUAGACCGGGGAGUCCUUGUGCCUCCCCGGGACUUCUUAGAGGGACAAACGGCGAGUAAGCCGAACGAGAGAGAGCAAUAACAGGUCUGUGAUGCCCUUAGAUGUCCGGGGCCGCACGCGCGCUACACUGAAGUGAUCAGCGUGCAUGUGUUCCCUCUCCGUGAGGAGAGGGUAACCCAAGGAACCUUCUUCGUGAUAGGGAUUGAGCAUUGUAAUUAUUGCUCAUGAACGAGGAAUUCCUAGUAGGCGCGAGUCAUUAGCUUGCGCUGAUUACGUCUCUUGCCCUUUGUACCCACCGUCCGUCGCUACUACCGAUUGAAUGAUA